rnacentral:rRNA from 1 species
UACGUAGGGUGCGAGCGUUGUCCGGAAUUAUUGGGCGUAAAGAGCUCGUAGGCGGUCUGUCGCGUCGAUCGUGAAAACUUGGGGCUUAACCCUGAGCUUGCGGUCGAUACGGGCAUGACUGGAGUUCGGCAGGGGAGAAUGGAAUUCCCGGUGUAGCGGUGAAAUGCGCAGAUAUCGGGAGGAACACCGGUGGCGAAGGCGGUUCUCUGGGCCUGUGCUGACGCUGAGGAGCGAAAGCGUGGGGAGCGAACAGG